AUCUAGUUGACGAGUCUCAAAUAGAAUGAAACAAGCGUCCUGUAU
rnacentral:hammerhead_ribozyme from 1 species